ACGCGUCUCCCCUGCCCCUCCUCCUCCUCCUCUCCUGCCGCCGCCGCCUCCUCCUCUCCUUUCCUCGAUGUCGCCAGGGCCUCACCCUCACUGGCUGCGGUGAUGGCGGCGGGGCGGAGCUCUUGGCGGGCCAGAGUCCUCUCCCGCGUCCGUCCCGGUGGGGCUGGUGACCUGCAGCCAAAGGGUGACGACGGCUAGGAGAGAGAGAUGAGAGGGAGAGAGAAGACAAGGAGAGGAGGGAGAAAGAGUGGGGAAAGAGGAGUUGCAGGUGCGCUGGCUGGUGGGAGAGGGACAAAGGGUCAUUGACCGCCGGCGAGGUCGGGCGGGGCCUGGCGGUUGGUUCCAGAUCCAGCGCAGGUCGCCCCCAUGGGUGAGCAAUGGAGGAGGGGUCUUGAAGGUUGGUGGAUGAGCAGGGGAGGCCGACAGCUUGGGGGAGGACCAGAGGAGUAGCGAACAGCAGCAACUCGUUUCUCAACUUCCUCCAGAAUCUUGCCGAGGAUUUUAUUGCAACAACAGGGUUCUGGCUAUUUUUGUUUUCAGAAUUUGUCAAAGAAAUUCUGCUUAGGCGCUUUGACCUGGCCAGUGAUCUCGUCUCACAUUGCGGUUUUGAAACUUGUCAAUGAAAUUCUGGUCAAUCAGUCUCCGCCAUCAUGUAACCCACCUGGUCGAGCCCCCACCCUGGCGGUUGCAUGCAGAGGAGGAGAGGUCGAGGAUGGCUCCCAUAGCAUGUCACAGGGUUAGCGAGGAGGAGGUUGUCCUCAAAGAGGUAGUGUCGUGUCUUGGCGGCCACCUCUCCUCAUCUCCUCCUAACAAGUGCAGGCUCGAUGGUUCAUGGCGUCCUCGCCGUCAUGGUUUGGCUACUGCUUGGCCUGACUCUACUUGUGCUGCUACUAUGUGCUACUAUAUGUUGUUGGUUGCCUCCUUAGUUGGUUAUUUGUGAAUCUGAAAACACUUUCUGAGAAGCAAGGAUUGAAGAGAAGGCUAUGCGCCAAUGAGAAGAGCUUCAUUUUCAGAUUUUUUUAAGAAUUGCUGAAGACCAUGUCAUAUGUUCAGUCACUAACAUUCCCUCUAUGGUGUACGCACUUGUUGUUCGUUUCAUUGGAGGGAGAGGAAGACUCUUUGUGAGAAUCAAGUAUUGAAGAGAAGGCUUAUGAGCCAAUGAGAAAACCUGAACUUUAGUUUUUUAUUUAAGAACCGAUGAAGGGCACGUCAUAUGUUCAGUUCCUUACAUUUUCUCUAUGAUGUAUGUACCUGCUGUUCAUGGCAUCCGAGGGAGAGGACAACAAGAGUAAGAAAGCCUUGCGGCGUGAAGGCAGUAGCACGCAGCACCAAGUCAAGCGCAUUGGCCUCGAUGGCAAGAGACCAGUACCAUCAGGUUCGCUUGACUGCUUGCUAGCCCAGCAUUGAACAGUACCCUUUAAAAAAGCUACAUGGUGGACGCUAUUUGUCAUAUUUUGACCGAUGAAUCUGUUUGAAUAGAUUAUACAGGAUUGAUGUAAUUAUCAGAUGAUUGCAGUCUACCCCAGGAUACAUAUUGGUUAUUUGGAUGCUCUCAUUUAAAGAUUUGCAAGAUCAAUGAGGAUUCGGGCUGCGGGGAGGGGUCUGGUGAUAGGAAACAUGGGUCCAAGAAGAAAUCAAAGAGCAUGUACAGGCAGCCCACGAGCAGCAGCAAGCAGAGCAAUAGCGAGCAGCCAACAAACAACAACAGCAAACAUCAGAAGUAGCAGCGGCAAGCAGCAGUACGCAGCAAAAGCGAGCAACAACAAUCUCCUGGCCUAAUCAUAUUGGUCCGGACCAAAAUGGUCUCAGGAGGCAGCGCUACAACCAUCUCCAGCGACGGCAAGAAUGAGAAACAACAAUGUUGACAAAGAAAAGAAAGCACGAGAAGGCAGGGGUGGCUUCUCACCUUGCUGUUCGUGGCGAGGCCGGAAGACACGGGACGGACGACAGCGAAUUCAGGACGUUAGCAAUGGCAGUCAACGUCGAGGAAGUAGGAGAGACCCGUGGCUUCAAAUCCUUGGUCCAGAGGAGACGCGGAGCCCGUCACGGUCCCUACAGUUGCUCGGGGAGGAUGACGACCGCGGCGGCGUCGCAACGGCGGCUAACGGAACAGAGGAAGGCGACCUCGGUCCAUAAGUUUGCUGCAUGCUCGGUGUCCAGGAAUCGCAUCAGAACGACGGCCGGAGCUGAACAGAAUUAGGGAAACUACCUAGCAUCAAGGACUCACUGGAAAAAUGAGGCGAUUCACGGCGGCGUCCAGCAGACCUGCAUGUUGGACCCUGGGGCGUGGACGUCAAGCCGGACCGAGGGCUGGUGGAUCCCGCCGGUUCCUAUGGCUGGAGUUGCUGCGGCGAGCGGCGGCGUCCCCAGCAAGCCCGACCAGUAAGGCCUCGUUUGGUUGCAUGGGAUCCCGGAGGGAACCCCGCUUAUUCCCCGGGCGGUAAAAGCACGGGCCAGAUCAAGCCGGGGAAAUCGAGCGCGACGUUUGGACGGAUUCGUUGGGGGGGCAUCCCUGCCCUACCCGCGUCGUUUCCCCGGGGAAACGUUCCACGCCUCUAGGGGUCGGGGAGAGAAGCCACGGCUCGAGCGAGACCGAGAGCGCAGCGACCGAAAGGCGGCGAGCCGGCGACGGCCAAGAUCCAGUCCUCCUCCUCCGAGUUUCCCCGGCAGCGACCGGAGAGACGGACCGCCCCCUCCCUCCGGUGCUCCGCCUCCAUGCUCCGUCCACCAGCGACCGCAACGUCCGUGGUCGUCGCGCUCCUCCUUCCCCAGAUCUCCCCUCCUCCUCGAAGUUCCUGUCCCCUCCGGUGACGGCAACGGCGGCGGUUCCGCGGUCAAUUUCCACCUACUUCGACCAAGGGAAACUGAUGCCAGAACUUGCUGGUCCAGAUCCAAGAACCCGAGCCUUCUCUUCUAAAUAAUUUCACAUGGCGUAGACAAAAUUUACUUCAUUGAGGCUGGCUAGGUGUUGUUUUUGUGUUUCCGUGGUGCAGAUGUGCUCUGAGCCUCUGACAUUAGCAAAUGAUUUGCUUUAUCCGAAAACGCUAGGCGGUGGCGGCGGCGUUGUGUUCAGUGGCUAAGUGCCUUUUGGUUCUUUGGUCAUUGAAAAGAUUUCACCUAAUGAAGAAAGGGUCUUGCUUAAGCAAGAGAAAGUACUGCCAAGUAUCAACUAGCUAGUUACAGAUUCACUCAUCAGGGAAGUAACUUGUAACAGCAGUGGAGUGUGGGCACGUGCCAUAUAUCUAUUAGUAAUUUGGUACUUACAUCGUGCUUGUGCUAGCUCCAGUUCAACGAACAUCGAGUUGUGGUACUUGAUGUCGAUGCGGAGUGGCGAAAAGACCUGAAUAGGACUAGUGAUUUUCACCUUGCAACUCAAUCCUAUUCGAAAGUGUGUAUGCCUUGGACAUGUGAUAAUUCAGAACCUUCUGUAGUGAACAAACUUAAAUAAUGGUGCAUCAAUGCCAAUUGUAUUGAUUGCUUUUAUGUUGGCACACGAAAAACGGUUUAGGUCAACGCUUGAUUGCAAUGAAAUGCAAAGCGAUGGAUAUUUGAACCUUGGUGAGGUGAUGGAUAUCAGUUGUAUUUUUUUUGAUGAAAUUAUAGUUUACAUGAAUUCUGAAGUUUUUUGUA